rnacentral:rRNA from 1 species
CCUACGGGAGGCAGCAGUGGGGAAUAUUGCACAAUGGGGGAAACCCUGAUGCAGCGACGCCGCGUGAGUGAAGAAGUAAUUCGUUAUGUAAAGCUCUAUCAGCAGGGAAGAAAAUGACGGUACCUGAGUAAGAAGCCCCGGCUAACUAAGUGCCAGCAGCCGUGGUAAUACGUAGGGGGCAAGCGUUAUCCGGAUUUACUGGGUGUAAAGGGAGCGUAGACGGCAGUGCAAGUCUGGAGUGAAAGGCGGGGGCUCAACCCCCGGACUGCUCUGGAAACUGUACGGCUGGAGUGCAGGAGAGGUAAGUGGAAUUCCUAGUGUAGCGGUGAAAUGCGUAGAUAUUAGGAGGAACACCAGUGGCGAAGGCGGCUUACUGGACUGUAACUGACGUUGAGGCUCGAAAGCGUGGGGAGCGAACAGGAUUAGAUACCCUUGUAGUC